GACUGCGUCCCCUCUCCUACCCGCAAACAGUAAGACUCACACUUUAUUUUUAUUUUUACCGAGUAUAAUUGUUCAGUGCUCAAAGAGCCUGUGCUUCUGGGACUGGGGGCUGUGAUAACAGUCAGUAAAGGUGAAUACCUCCUUCCAUGCCAACCCGAACUUGGAAUUUUGAAUAUUAGCUCUUUAUCAACCCUCUUUAUUUUACAUUCUUUUAUUUACUUUCAAGACAACCACACGGAACAGGUACUGUCUUAUUUUCGGCUUUGCAAAGCUGUUCUUAGCAGCAAUUCCUUUGAAAGGUGCUUGUUCUGGGAUGCUUUGCAGUAUAAAAUCAAAUUAAGCAGUCAGGUCGGGCAUGGUGGCUCAUACUUGUCAUCCAGCACACGGGAAGCAGAGGCUCCAAGUUUGGGGCCAGCGUGGUCUAUAGUUUCCUCAAACCUUGGCUCAAAGAAUCUAGAUCAGCGGUUACUGUUCAGUUACUCUUCAGGUUCUGGAGCUGAGAGUUGCUGAGCUGUUAGAGAGACUGCCUUGCACCCCAAUCUUGAGUGACAUCCCUGGUACGACAUAAACUGGACACAGUGGCUUUGGCCUAUAAUCAGAAGUUGAAGGCCAGAUGGUCAGGGUCAUCCUUGAUUCUAUAGUAAGUUCCAGCCUGGACUACAUGACACCCUGUUUCAAAAAAAAAAAA
rnacentral:lncRNA from 1 species